UUUGCAAUGAAGUUAUUUUAUUAGAAAGAAAAUGUAGCUACAUCUCUCUAACCUUUGAUUGGAUUUGUUGCAGUUGUCAUUUUGUCUCUAACCCCUCCUGUCUUUUCUGUUUAUGUCCUCGUGUUCCUCCUGAUUUCUUAUUCACACCUACGUUCACCUGCCCACUACCUCACCUCGUCUCCCAGGUUUCUCUCUGCUCUUGAGUCACUCCGCUGCCCCAGAACCGUUACAAUCAUGAUGUUUAUGUGCCCUGGCUAACACAAAAUAAUUUAUAACGAUUAAAUAAUCUGGACUCAGUACUUUAGAGUCAAUCAUGAAUGGUGAAAGGCACCCGCACAAAAACAGUUGAUUUCAUAUGAAAAUUUUGUUUAAUAAUCAGAAAACAUGCCAAACAAGCAACAAAUUUUCUUUGUUAGCAAUUAUGAAUUAAUUGAGUUUCUUAUUGAUAGCAAAAGUUGACAUGUGUUUAAGUUCUAUAAAUGCAGCUAAGUGUGUUUUCUUUGUGCUCAGAGGUGAGUUCAAAGCACGUUUUCACUGUGCAGAUAUAAUGAACAGAUUGGAGAGACUGUCCAACUGGCUCCAGUUAGACCAACGUGGAAGUUUCAUAUGUGUGAUCCCAUGCAAACUCAGGGACCUUCCUUGUUGCUCAGCUAUAAAAACAUCACAUCAGUCUGUUGAGUUCACAGCUCGUCAGGUUCAACAUCACCAUGUUCUCAAUAGCUCUGCUGCUGCUGUUGGCAGCUGGAUGUGUGAAGUGUGAGCAGUUGACGCAGCCGGCCUCUGUGACUGUGCAGCCCGGUCAACGUCUGACCAUCACCUGUCAGGUGUCUUAUGCUCUUAGCAGCUACCGGACAGCAUGGAUCAGACAACCUGCAGGGAAAGGACUGGAAUGGAUUGGAAUGAAAUAUACUGGAGAUUCAGACUACAAAGAUUCACUGAAGAGCAAGUUUAGUAUCGACUUGGAUGCUUCCACUAAAACAGUGACUCUAAACGAACAGAAUGUGCAGCCUGAAGACACGGCUGUGUAUUACUGUGCAAGACUGGCCCACAGUAACACAAACCAUCAGUACAACUGAACAAAAACCUCUCAGUGCCUGAACACUUGUUACACAAAGCCACCAGAGGAGGAGUCCUCAGACCACCAAUGAUUCAACACCAGCUCACUGUUACAGCAGUUUAAAUAACUACAUGUUACAAUUACUAAAAUUCUAUUCUAUGUAUUUCCUGAAUAAAAAGUUAAUGACACGUUUAUUACUUCAAUGGUGUGCCCUGA